GAUAUCAAUAUGGGUAGGAAAAGGAACCAACAGGGAUUGCGUUUUUAGCGGCGAGUGAGCGGCAAAAGCUCAAAUUUGAAAUCUGGCCCCUUCGGUGUCCGAGUUGUUUUUUGAAGAUUGUUACCUUGGGGUUGGCUCUUGUCUAUGUUUCUUGGAACAGGACGUCACAGAGGGGGAGAAUCCCGUGCGAUGAGAUGCCCAAUUCUAUGUAAGGUGCUUUCUAAGAGUCAAGUUGUUUGGGAAUGCAGCUCUAAGUGGGUGGUAAAUUCCAUCUAAAGCUAAAUAUUGGCGAGAGACCGAUAGCGAACAAGUACAGUGAUGGAAAGAUGAAAAGAACUUUGAAAAGAGAGUGAAAAAGUACGUGAAAUUGUUGAAAGGGAAGGGUUUGAGAUCAGACUCGGUAUUUUGUGAGCCUUGCCUUCUUGGUGGGGUGACCGCAGUUUUAUCGGGCCAGCAUCGGUUUGGGCGGUAGGAUAAUGGCGUAGGAAUGUGACUUUACUUCGUGGAAGUGUUUUAUCCUGCGUUGAUGCUUCCUGCCUAAACCAAGGACUGCUAUUUUAUCACGGAUGCUGGGAUAAUGAUCCCAACCCCCCCGUCUUGAAACCAGGACAA
rnacentral:rRNA from 1 species